UUUCCAUCCCUGAAUAAAAAUUAAAAUUCCAACAAUACAUGUAGAGAAGAUUAGCACGGCCUCAAGGAUGAUACGGAAGUUUGAGAAGCGUUCCAAAAUUGU
rnacentral:snRNA from 1 species